CAUGGGCGAGCCUGAUGGAGCAACGCCGCGUGUGUGAUGAAGGCUUUCGGGUCGUAAAGCACUGUUGUAUGGGAAGAACAGCUAGAAUAGGAAAUGAUUUUAGUUUGACGGUACCAUACCAGAAAGGGACGGCUAAAUACGUGCCAGCA
rnacentral:rRNA from 1 species